rnacentral:lncRNA from 1 species
GUUUAUCAGCCUAAUUCAACCUAUAUUGCAUGCAUUAAUUGUUUGCUAACAACAUAGCUUACAAAUUCAUAAAUCGAAAUUACACAUCGAGUCUACAUACCAAAAUCGAAACUACUGCCUACAUAAGAAUGAGUGAAAAAGCAGAACACAUUUGUAAAAUGUACGCUACAGUACAUCCCAAACCCAAAGCAGAGUAUUAAAAUGAACACUGUCCAUUUUAAAAUUGUACACAUUUAUUUUCUACAACUGUUCCUGCGCCACAUUGUCCAGUUCCAUAUCUACUUCUUCUCAUAUUUCAAUUACAUGAAAACACAAGAGAAAUCAUCAGGAUUAAAAACCUAUAUUAAAAAAAAUAGUUUUUGAACAGCUAUAUGAACAAUUACUUGCACUUUGCACAUAAAUGAAUCUAGCAUUUGGACCAUUUGGUCAUAUUUGUUAUUUGUAAAUACUAAAACAUAAAUGAAUCUAUAUUAACACAAACAUAGUUCCAGAUGCGAUUUCUUUAACUACAGACACCAAAGUACAAUAUUGUAUUCACUUCUUAUACCACCUGUGAACACCAGCUGCAAAUUCAUAGAGACAUCACAAAAAAAAGACUGCAGAAUCCACAGUAGCUUCCAAUUUCACACUAAUCUGUCAUUAAAUCUGAACUCCAGUGAUGAGGUCUACUGGUUGUAAAGUUGGAUCAAGAUAUGCUGGUAAAAGAUCUUUUAUUCCCAGUUCUUCCACUGAAAUAAAGAGAAAGACUAAGGACUAUUCUCUAAUGUUAUUGUCGAUAAGACAAUACUCAAAAUGCUUAUAUGUCAAACUCUUCUUACCAAUAAGUCUGGUGGAAUUUUUCCAUUAGAAAACCUUCCAGUUGGUUGUCCCCCUAUGAAAUCCUUUCCAUAAGGAGGAUAAUUAACCUUCCCUAUUGUUUUGAGGCCAUUAUUGUUACCGGUAUCAACAAUAGAGUCUCCAAAAACUAUCAAUGCUGGUAUAGACUUAUUAGAAGGUACCCUUAUGACUGCCUGGACAUUGCACAUUAGAAGUGCAAAACAAAUUCUUGAGAAUACAAGAAAAGUAUAAAUUUUGAAAAAGAAGAACUCCAUUGAUAAAGCUGAAAGCAUCUCUCGGAGCAUGGAGGAAUUAAGAAACACACAAGCACUAGUAUUUAACUUUAAGAAUCAAGAACUCAAUUUCAACAGGAAACAUGAGGGCAUCCUGCUAAGUAAAUGCUUGGUUGGCACAACAUUGAUUGCACUACUAGUUGAUUUAAUGUUUUCUUUAUCACAGAGACCAUUAUAGAAAGGCGAAUGCAGCUUUAGUUUCAGUAAAAUCUACAACACAGCAGCAAGCAGGAGCUAUCAUGUCAUCCUAUGUACAUUAAGCUGAUCACAUUUAGCUAUCAAAAUAUUAAAGUCAUGUGCUAAUUCUAGUGCUUCCCACUGUUAGUUCGAUUAAAGCUUAUAUACAACAAAUACUUGAAGCCUUGAUGGGUCAAAUUCGAAUUCUUACAAAAUAUAUUAACACUACACGUCAAUUACGGAAGGCUCUUUUCCAUUGCUGGCUAAAUCUGAAGAAAAAAAUUAAAACAAUGAGUCGUGCGAUAAAUAUAAGCAUAUCAACAACACUUAUAUACAACAAAUAAUGUCUACCACAUUUUCUUUCUAAAAUCUAUCAAUUAGGGAUAUAUAACACAAUAUUCAUAUCGACAUUACAAGACACAACAAUUUGACAUUGAGAAAUCUUAACCUUUCUUCCUCCUUUUCCCCUUUUGUUUGUUCCUUUACAUUGAAAUAUAUAAUUAACGCCACAUCCAUAAAGGUACAAUGGGUGCACUGUUUACUGCAUCUAUGUACUUGAAUCCGGUUCUUCCUAGAAGUACUAUGGAACUUUAACCCAAGGUGAUGGCAAUGUUACAUUAGCAAUCAAAAACGGCUUAAACUCAGUCAUAUGACAAGGGAAUGUUCCAUUAAUUAAACACUGAUUCACUGCAUAAAAUCGAUUCAGAGCACUGCACAUCGAGCGAAAAUGUAUGAAUUGCAAGGUAAAAAACACAGAUACCUGCUGGUGGUGGACUGCUGGAAGUCGACGAGAAGGGCGUUAGGGUUUCUGUCUUACGCGUUAGAGAGUAGAGACAGAGUACUGGAACUCUGUGGAAGGG